CGUGUAGGCGGCCUGAUAAGUCAGACGUGAAAGCCCGCGGCUUAACCGCGGGACUGCGUUUGAAACUGACAGGCUUGAGGAUCGGAGAGGGCAGUGGAAUUCCCAGUGUAGCGGUGAAAUGCGUAGAUAUUGGGAGGAACACCAGUGGCGAAGGCGACUGCCUGGACGACACCUGACGCUGAGGCGCGAAAGCUAGGGGAGCAAACGGGAUUAGAUACCCCGGUAGUCCUAGCCGUAAACGAUGGGUACUAGGUGUGGGAGGUAUCGACCCCUUCCGUGUCGCAGUUAACACAAUAAGUACCCCGCCUGGGGAGUACGGCCGCAAGGUUGAA
rnacentral:rRNA from 1 species